ACUUGUGCCUUAUGGUUUUGUAAUCUUAUAAGUUGUUUUAUUUUGUGUGUUGUUUUGUUUGUCUUAUUGUAGCACCACUACCACCAGGUAUAAACCCAUUUGCAGUUAAUAAUAAAUAAUUCCAUACAUCAAUUUCCAACAAGAACAAAUUCAUUGCAAGGUACAUUUCACCAAUCAGUGCUAGUACUAAAAAUAAUUUAUGAACUUCACCCCUCAGCAGUCGCUGAGUUAGUGAUAUAUCUAGUGAAAUGAAAGUAAUUUGGAGGAGGAAGACAGGAAUAAGUAAUCCAUUCAGGUCAACGAAUAUUCUGAUAUCAGUGGUGACGCUAAACUUAUCGUCAACAUUCGAUACAUCGAUGAAGGUAUAAUCACAAAUAAUUUAUUUUUCUGCGAGGAACUUGCAGAGUGAGCAGCCGGCGGUGAGAUACUUCGUUUUAGUACGGAAUAUCUUCGCGCAAAUGGACUGCAAUGAAAGGACUAUAUCAGUGCCUGCGCAGAAGGGGCAUCAUCAGUGACAGAUAAACUGAGAAGCUUAGUAGCGAAAGUGAAUCGAGAAAUAAUGUUUGACCACUGCCUUGUUCAUGGCGAAGCCAUCUUUGCCUGAUCUUUAGAAGAAUGUUUUGGAUGACGUAAAAGUUGUUGACUUCAAAUCGCGGCCCUUCAACUACUUCGGUUUUGUGCUAGGACCUGGGUUAUGAACACACCUCUUUCUAGCUUCACGUGGUAGUACGAUGGUUGUCACGUGCACGGAAAAUUGUGGAAAGGUAUUAAUUCGUGUAGCUGAGCUUCGUUACGACGGGUGUUUUUGUAACUUUUUAGGGGGCGAGUACGCGUAAUUACUUGCUGAUGAGUGGAUUGCUAAAGUGGCGUUCCUGUCAUAUUUUCGUUCAUUUUAAUGAACUGAACAAAAAAAAAAGUAGGGCAAGAACGAAAAUAUCCCGAGCAGUAUGGACAAAAUUCAAGGAUUACGCGGUAAGUUGUGGUACCAAACAUAAUUAGUGGGUGCAUUGAAAUGAUGCCAGCUGUGUGCUCACUUGCUGCUAGAAAUAAAUCGUCACUGAAAAAUAUUUGGCCGUACAGCAGCAAAAGUUUUCGAACUAAUCAGGGACGUGGAAUAUUUAAACUGGGUUCCAGAAUCGUGAGUAGGUGUCCUUGCAACUUUCCUCCUUUGAAAUCUCAAGAACCGAGGGAUCUGAAGACAGACAGAACCCUUAAAUUUACGUUCUGUGAACUCUAAUUUGACAUAUUUCGGCUAAGUGAAUGAAUACCUUGUGAUUUCUGACAUGGCUGUUAGGAUCUUGUUUCCAUUAUGAAGAAAUGAGAGGUCAAUUAUUUACAAUUUUGCCAUGUACCAUUCCCCCUUGCUCAACGAAGCAGGCGCAACUAUCACGUGAAACAGCAAAGAGCCAACUGGAGAGCCAGCGAGGUGAGAGCAGUGUAACUGUACCAAGGCAACAGAUGACUGUUCCCACGCUGGCUGAUGACAGUGAUUCUGGUACUGCUCCCAGCUCAGCGUCCCUCCACUACCUUCCGAAUAGUCGACAAUAGCGUCCGUCUGUCCAACCAGAUCUGACAAUGCUGGCAGUAGCAAUGAUACAGCACCUAUUACACCAAGCAUGAUCUGGACACACAAACAGAAAAAGUAUGUUUGUUUUAUGUCAUUCCAGUUCAGUUCUAUCGUAGAGAAAAGUAUUUCAUUAUGAUUAUGUUGGGGAAUAUGAAUGGAGUGUGUCCCAUCACACCAACAGAGAUUAAGUAAUGUUGGAAAUAAGAUAUUACAUAUUGAAUAAAUUUGUAUUUACUCUUUCAUAUUAUGCUAUUUUAUUAUAAGUAAACCCAGCUUCAUUUUAUAUACUUUUAGCAUGUUUAUGAUUAAAAAAGACAUAAUUCAGUAUAA